rnacentral:lncRNA from 1 species
GAGAUAUUGUUUGAUGGGUUAGUUAAUAAAAUAAAGUUUGCAUAUUAUUAGUUAAAUUAUUCUGCUACCUAUUUAUGAUAUCAUUUUGAGAUAUUUUGCAAGCUUGUGGAAAAAGUUUUCUAUGAGUAUACGGCGGUUGAUGCGACACCUAGCUCGCGAUCUCAAGUCGAAGGCAUGACAAUUAUUAUGGUAUUAGAGCGUAAGUGGAUGAAUCAUAAGUUAUAGAAUGAAACAAAACAUGAAUGUAGGUGGAUAGACACUAAGGACAUUGGGAUGUUAGUUUAUGAUGAUUGUGAUAAGCUAUUCUAAAUACUUGUAAUUAAUUGGCAAGCUUUUUAUGGGUAUACUGCUAUCUGAUGGAUACAGGUCAGGAUGCCUCCAUGUUGGAUGAGAAAGACUACUCUUGGUGCUACUGAUAAGGCACCAAACCAGCAAGAUGGCGGCACACCCCAACAGCUUGGU